UGUUUUCUUUGUCUUUAUAUUUCAGCUUUUAUUUCUCAGAAACAAUGUCUUUGUUUGUUUGACAGUUUGUCAGUCGAGAGAAUAUUAUGUACUCUCUUUAUUGGCUUGGCACAACUUAGCAGCAAGCCCAGAAUGAAAAACAGGUAGAGAGAAAAUUUAGAAGAGAGAAUAGACAGAGCAGGAGAGACAUGGCUGGGAAAUCACAAUCAAACCGUGAAUUAGAGUUUUCUUUAUUUGUUCAGUUUGUUCUCAGGUAGAGGCAAUAUGCACUCUUUAUUGCUUUAAUGGCUUGGCAUUUUUCAGCAGCAAGCCAAGAGUGAAAAACAGGUAGAGAGAAAAUUUAGCAGAGAGAACAGACAGAGCAGGAGAGACACGGCUUUGAAAUCAAACCGCAAUAAGAUUCUUGGUUUGGCAAAAUUUCUCACAAACCACAGGGUGAAAUACAGAUGGAAAGAAGGCAGAGACAACAGGUAGAGAGAAAAUUUAGCAGAGAGAACAGACAGAGCAGGAGAGACACGGUUUUGAAAUCAAACCGCAAUAAGAUUCUUGGUUUGGCAAAAUUUCUCACAAACCACAGGGUGAAAUACAGAUGGAAAGAAGGCAGAGACAACAGGUGGAGCAGGACAGAGGAUAGAGGGGAUGGGGGGUUGGGAUGUGACAGAGAAGACUGGAGAUCUGGUCCUUGUUCUUCUGCACACUGUGAACAAAAAAGAAGAAAAAAAUAAUAAUUUUAUUAAAAUUAUAUCACAUGGUAAUUGUAUGAACUAAUUGUGACUACUGAAAAAGGACAAAACAAAUAUUGAAGCUAAACUGUUGUUGGCUGCCAUGUGCAAAAAGUUGCAUAAUUGGGCACUUUUUAAAAGAAUAUUUAUUUAAAUUCAGCAAUAAUAUUUUUAAUACAAAUAUGAUUGAGUGAAUCAUUA
ensembl:lncRNA